UAUGAACGGCUAAAUGAGGAUUAAACUGUCUCCUACGACUAAUCAGUGAAACUGAUCUCCCAGUUCAAAAGCUGGGAUAAAUACAUAAGACGAGAAGACCCUGUGGAGCUUAAAAUUAAAGCCACCCACACCAACCCACCAAACCAAACAUGGCCUACAAUUUUAAGUUGGGGCGACUUCGGAACCAAACAAAACUUCCGAGCACAAGAGCAUCCCUCAUACCAAGGCCAACAUGCCUAAGCAUAACCUGACCCAGUCCUACUGAUCAACGAACCAAGUUACCCCAGGGAUAACAGCGCCAUCUUCUUUAAGAGUCCCUAUCGCCAAGAAGGUUUACGACCUCGAUGUUGGAUCAGGACACCCAAAUGGUGCAGCAGCUAUUAAAGGUUCGUUUGUUCAACGAUUAAUAGUCCUACGUGAUCUGAGUUC
rnacentral:rRNA from 1 species